AUUGAACGCUGGCGGAAUGCUUUACACAUGCCAGUCGAACGAUGAACCUUAGCUUGCUAAAGGGAUUAGUGGCGAACGGGUGAGUAAUAUAUCGGAACGUGCCUUGUAAUGGGGGAUAACUAGUCGAAAGAUUAGCUAAUACCGCAUACGCCCUGAGGGGGAAAGUAGGGGAUCUUCGGACCUUACGUUAUAAGAGCGGCCGAUAUCUGAUUAGCUAGUUGGUGGGGUAAUGGCCUACCAAGGCGACGAUCAGUAGCUGGUCUGAGAGGACGACCAGCCACACUGGAACUGAGACACGGUCCAGACUCCUACGGGAGGCAGCAGUGGGGAAUUUUGGACAAUGGGCGCAAGCCUGAUCCAGCCAUUCCGCGUGAGUGAAGAAGGCCUUCGGGUUGUAAAGCUCUUUCGCAAGGGAAGAAAACUUACCAUCGAAUAAAUGGUGAGGCUGACGGUACCCUGAUAAGAAGCACCGGCUAACUACGUG
rnacentral:rRNA from 1 species